rnacentral:rRNA from 1 species
GAUGAACGCUGGCGGCGUGCCUAAUACAUGCAAGUCGAGCGAACGGACGCGAAGUUUGCUUCUUGGUCGUUAGGGGCGGACGGGUGAGUAACACGUGUAUCCCCUACUUGUCUUUCUGGUAUAAUUUCGGGACACCGGAUCUUAUCCCGGAUAAUAUUUUGAACCGCAUUGUUCAAUGGUGAAUGUCGGCCUUGCUGUCUGUUCUAGAUGGAUCUCGGCUGCAGUAGCUGGUUGGUAAGGUAACGGGUUAGCAAGGCUACGAUGCAUAGCCGACGUGAGAGAGUGGUCGGCCACACGGGAACUGAGACAGGGACCAGAGUCCUACGGGAGGCAGCAGUAGGGUAUGUGCGGCAAUGGGGGAAAGCAUGACGGAGCAACGGCGCGUGAGUGAUGAAGGUCUUCGGAUCGUAAAGCUCUGUUAUUAGGGAAGAACAUAUGUGGAAGUAAAUGAGGACAGCUUGACGGUAACGAAUCAGAAAGCCACGGCUAACUACGUG